GACGAACGCUGGCGGCGUGCCUAAUACAUGCAAGUUGAGCGAUGAAGAUUGGUGCUUGCACCAAUUUGAAGAGCAGCGAACGGGUGAGUAACGCGUGGGGAAUCUGCCUUUGAGCGGGGGACAACAUUUGGAAACGAAUGCUAAUACCGCAUAACAACUUUAAACAUAAGUUUUAAGUUUGAAAGAUGCAAUUGCAUCACUCAAAGAUGAUCCCGCGUUGUAUUAGCUAGUUGGUGAGGUAAAGGCUCACCAAGGCGAUGAUACAUAGCCGACCUGAGAGGGUGAUUGGCCACAAUGGGACUGAGACACGGCCCAAACUCCUACGGGAGGCAGCAGUAGGGAAUCUUCGGAAAUGGACGGAAGUCUGACCGAGCAACGCCGCGUGGGUGAAGAAGGGUUUCGGAUCGUAAAACUCUGUUGGUAGAGAAGAACGUUGGUGAGAGUGGAAAGCUCAUCAAGUGACGGUAACUACACAGAAAGGGACGGCUAACUACGUG
rnacentral:rRNA from 1 species